rnacentral:rRNA from 1 species
AACGAACGUUAGCGGCGCGCCUAACGCAUGCAAGUCGAACGCGACAGGGGCAACUCUGUUGAGUGGCGCACGGGUGAGUAACACGUAGGUAAUCUCCCCCCGAGUGGUGGAUAACCUUCCGAAAGGAGGGCUAAUACAGCAUAAGACCACGGCUUCGAAAGGAGCUGAGGUCAAAGCGGAGGAUCGCCAGACGUCGCGCUUGGGGAGGAGCCUGCGGCCCAUCAGGUAGUUGGCGGGGUAACAGCCCACCAAGCCUAAGACGGGUAGCUGGUCUGAGAGGAUGAUCAGCCACACUGGAACUGAGACACGGUCCAGACUCCUACGGGAGGCAGCAGUGGGGAAUCUUGCGCAAUGGACGAAAGUCUGACGCAGCGACGCCGCGUGGGUGAUGAAGGCCUUCGGGUUGUAAAGCCCUGUGGGGAGGGACGAAUAAGUUUCAGCUAAUACCUGAAGCGAUGACGGUACCUCCUUAGCAAGCACCGGCUAACUCUGUGCCAGCCGCCGCCGUAACAC